UUGUGUGAGAAUCGGAGAAGGAGAAUUAAAGAGUUAAAAGAGUGAGAGCACAGAUGGACAAUGGAGGUCCGAGAAUACAGAGAGAGAAAAAAAAAUUAGAGAAUAGAGAAAGAGUUUGAGGGCAGAGAGAGACGAGUUGCGGGGAGGAGCUGAGAUUUUAGAGAGGAAGCCGGGAGCUUGAGGCUUUGAUGAUCCUGUGAGGGAAAUUCUUUUCCAAGGUACUUAUCCCCAAAAUAAGCUAACUCAGCUAAAUAAGAGCAUAAUUGAAUCAAUCUUGAGAUGAAUCAAAGAAAUGAGGCAAAAUGAAGCAAGUGGUGGAAGUUCAGCAUGUUCGAUUGAUCGAAAGUUCAUCGAUCUCAGCAUUCCAAGAUGGAUCCAAGCUCUUUUGUCCUUAUCCAAAGAUCUCACAAAGUUUGAUUGAUCCAACUUUCUUUCGAUCGAUCGAAAAGAUUCCAUCUUAUCCACUUGUACCACCCUACCUACAACAUUUGUCUCUUUCCCAAAAAUAUCUUCAAAAUAUCUCAGAUUUGUUUUUAUACAAAAAGGCGCCGCCAUAGUGGACCGAUCCAGCCUUAGUUUGAUAGAUCUCAGCCAUGUUCGACCGAUCUCAUCCAAGGUUCGAUCAAUCGAACUUCCCCAAGUACGCAAAAAGACAAAAAUCCAGCUCAUUGAAAGUUGUCUCAUAGCCAAUCAUUGGAGGAAUGUUGGAGUGUGAGCCCAGACCAUUAGGGUGACAUUUUAACCUACUUAUAUAAGGAAUAUGAGCCACUUUUUGAGAUAUACUUGAUAUACUUUAGAAUAGAGAGGAGGCACAAUUUUCAUAUUCUUAGUGAAGAAGAAAAGAAAGGAGGAGGCUAGAGACACAAGCUUGGAGUUCUUCCAUCCACCAAGAAGAGGAGCAAUUUCAUCCAUGGAGUUAGCCCUUGAGGGUUGGAGAAGCACAUCCAUGAGUGGCUAGACAUCCUCUUGGGGCUAGAGUUAGCCCUAAGCAUGCUUUCUGCAUCUUGAUUUAUGUAUAUUUGAGGGGAUUUGUAUUGUGAUACAUGUUUUGACAUAUUUAUAUACAUAGAUCUUGUUUAUUCAA